rnacentral:rRNA from 1 species
UACGUAGGGGGCAAGCGUUGUCCGGAUUUAUUGGGCGUAAAGCGCGUGUAGGUGGCCAAGUAGGUCCGCUGUGAAAACCCGCGGCUCAACUGCGGGCCUGCAGCCGAUACGGGCAGGCUAGAGUUCGGAAGAGGGUCGUGGAAUUCCCAGUGUAGAGGUGAAAUUCGUAGAUAUUGGGAAGAACACCGGUGGCGAAGGCGGCGACCUGGUCCGAGACUGACGCUGAGGCGCGAAAGCGUGGGGAGCAAACAGG